rnacentral:lncRNA from 1 species
GUGCUGUGUUAUAGUAAUUGGAUUGCUUUUAUAGAAUGCUCUCUCCCAUCCUCAUAGACUAUGGAAUCUCUGAGACUUUGGGACACUCUGCUGACUUGGCUGGAAGAAAGUUCUUGCCUAUCCAGUUUUUGCCCCUGCCUUUGGCACCUAGAAGCCUCUUUCCUCUUCCCCUCCCGGGCUUCUGUAUAAUAAGUGUGUCUGGGUUUCUGUUGCACGGAACGUCCCAGAGCAAGAGACUCUGGGGCAGUCAAACAAAGGCAGGAUUUCAUUCACCUGGCACGCUGACCCCUUGGAUCCUGGCUGGAAACUGGGCACCGGGGCCCCAGGGCUGAGAGCAGUGCCUUACAUAAGCCCCAGUGCUAGCAGCUGCUGCCUGCCUGGUCUGCGACAAGGGAGCUGUUCUCUCAUGGUAGCACAGGGACUUCUCCUUGUUGGCCAACACGUUUCCCCAUAAUUAAAAACAUCCACUGUUUUCUGCAGAUACCAUCCUCAAUGUCCCUACACUGGUAUCUUGACUGAUCUGGGAGAGGAAAAUAUACAUGUUAAUAGAUUAAUCUAAUUAAUUAUUGGCAAAACUCCCUGAAUGACCUUCUCACUCUUUUUCUCUUCCUCUAUUGCACAGCUGUGGCACGGUUAAAAUAGCAACAGGACAGGCUUCUUCUGAGUGCGCUAGACCCAUCUCCGGUCCUGUGUGCACAGUCACAAAAUGCAGACACAGCUAGAAGGUGCCUACCUGCAAACCAGGAAGAAGGCUCUCACCAGCACCCGACCAUGCUGGCACCUUGAUCUUGGACUUCUUGCCUCCAAAACUCUUGUUUCCUGCAGCCAGCACUUGGUAGAUUGUAUCCUGAUGGUGCCUGUCCCUCCAUUUCCUAAAGGUUAGUAGUAGAUCUGAAAGCUUGAGGGUUUUUCCUUUUCUUUAGCGUAGUUUUAACUUCAUAGUCCAUGACUCCUUUUGAUAGGAUUCUGUUCAUGUGUAAUAGCUUCUUCCUUGCUCUCUGAUGUGAUCAUAUGUUCCAGGCUCACCAUUCACAGUUCCUGCUCCAGAUCUGGAACCUACCAUUUUUCCCAAGGAAACAAUUUCUUUUAGUGGUUGUUAGGAGUGCUCGCCACUACUGGGUCUGUGAUUAUUAUUAGGCUGCUACCGUGGAGAGGGAUAUAAAUGUUUUUUGAAUUUUUUUCUACACCUUUAUUGAUGUAUAACUGAAGGACAAUAAAUUCAAGUACUUAAAAAGUACAAUUUGACCCGUUUGGACCAAUGCAAACACCUGCAAAACUAUAAGCGAGAUAGUAAACAUUUUUAUCACCCCCAAACUUUCCUCAUGCCUCUUUGUAAUUCAUCCCUCCUUCCAUUCCACUCCACUCCCUAAGCAAUCACUGACAUGCUUACCAUCACUAUAAAUUAGUUUGCAUUUUCUAUAAUUUUAUACAAAUAAAAUCAUAGCUUACAUACUGUUUCCU